rnacentral:tRNA from 1 species
CAAGAAAUAGUUUAAAAAAAAUAUUAAUUUUGGAGAUUAAAGAUGGGAAAAUUUUCUUUUCUUGA